rnacentral:rRNA from 1 species
AAGUCGGCAAAACGGAUCCGUAACCUUGGGAUAAGGAUUGGCUCUGAGGACUGAGCCGGUCGCGCUGGGGACCUGAAGCAGGAACGGCACUGCACCGGGACUGGGCGGGGCUCGCCGUUGACGCGGCGCGGCCAAGCCCGGACCAGCGUCGGGACCUUCCUGUGGAAAGCCUCAGCUGCGCGGCGUCCGAGGGCUUCGUGCCCAAAGUGCUAUGCUUCGGCCGGCAAAAAACAGUCAACUCAGAACUGGCACGGACCGGGGGAAUCCGACUGUCUAAUUAAAACAAAGCAUUGCGAUGGCCGCUGGUCGGUGUUGACGCAAUGUGAUUUCUGCCCAGUGCUCUGAAUGUCAACGUGAAGAGAUUCAUCAAAGCGCGGGUAAACGGCGGGAGUAACUAUGACUCUCUUCCCUGCUAAUUUUUACAGCGCGUAGUUACCAAUAUUUGGCCAAAUUAACUGUUUUUUGCUA